UUCCAGACUCCUACGGGAGGCAGCAGUGGGGAAUAUUGCACAAUGGGGGGAACCCUGAUGCAGCGACGCCGCGUGGGCGAGGAAGUAUUUCGGUAUGUAAAGCCCUAUCGGCAGGGAAGAAGAAAUGACGGUACCUGAAUAAGAAGCACCGGCUAAAUACGUGCCAGCAGCCGCGGUAAUACGUAGGGGGCAAGCGUUAUCCGGAUUUACUGGGUGUAAAGGGAGCGUAGACGGCAGCGCAAGUCUGAAGUGAAAUGCCGGGGCUUAACCCCGGAACUGCUUUGGAAACUGAGCAGCUAGAGUGCAGGAGAGGUAAGGGGAAUUCCUAGUGUAGCGGUGAAAUGCGUAGAUAUUAGGAGGAACACCAGUGGCGAAGGCGGCUUACUGGACUGUAACUGACGUUGAGGCUCGAAAGCGUGGGGAGCAAACAGGAUUAGAUACCCGUGUAC
rnacentral:rRNA from 1 species